CAGCAAGGUCAUCGCGGGUGUCUAAUCCAUCAACCGAAUAGAGAUCAGACUGACCAUUUCUUUGUAAGGCUAUGUUAAAGCAGUGUCUUACCAGGACUUGAUCUCCUCUGACCUCUCCGACCCCUUGGCUUGUUGGAAAUUUCAAUUUUAAAUGGUAGGUCGAUACCACGCUCGGAGGGCGUUGAGGUCAGGUUGGCCAAGUAUUAC
rnacentral:lncRNA from 1 species